rnacentral:misc_RNA from 1 species
CUGCCCUCAAGCACGGCUUGUGUGUUGGGCCCCUGUCCCCGGCCUCCCCCGGGGACGGGCCCGAAAGGCAGCGGCGGCGUCGUGCCCGGUCCUCGAGCGUAUGGGGCUCUGUCACUCGCUCUGGAGGCCUGGCCGGCGCCUGCCCCUUCUCCAAUCUUUCUUAGG